GUAAAGAACUUUUACAUUGGAGCGAUACAGAGAAGAUUAGCAUGGCUCCUGUACAAGGAUGAUAUGCAAAUUUAUGAAGCAUUCCAGAUUUUU
rnacentral:snRNA from 1 species